AAGGAGGUGAUCCAGCCGCACUGGAACUGAGACACGGUCCAGACUCCUACGGGAGGCAGCAGUGGGGAAUUUUCUGCAAUGGGCGAAAGCCUGACAGAGCAAUACCGCGUGAGGGAUGAAGGCCCGUGGGUCGUAAACCUCUUUUUUCAAGGAGGAAGUUCUGACGUGUACUUGAAGAAUAAGCAUCGGCUAACUCUGUGCCAGCAGCCGCGGUAAGACAGAGGAUGCAAGUGUUAUCCGGAAUUACUGGGCGUAAAGCGUCUGCAGGUUGUUUAUUAAGUCUGUUGUUAAGUCUUGAGGCUUAACCUUAAAAUGGCAAUGGAAACUAUUAGACUUGAGUAGGUAGAGGUAAA
rnacentral:rRNA from 1 species